GGGAUGCACAUGGGUGGCUGCACGCCGCCGCCGUUCGAACAGGAAAUGCACGCUCAACCCGGGGUGGGGUCUUUUGUGUGGUCGUUCGGGGCGUCUCGCGGGAGCCCCGGGGCGCAGAGGCCACGGCGGGCGGCCCUGCACGCGUCGCCGGGCACAGGUCCUUGUGCCCCAGGCAGCGGGCACACGGGUUCCCGGGUUUGCACAAGCCCUGGGUCCAGAACCUGAUGCCCGCGAACCCGGGAUACAGUAGAGAAGGAGUCAGCGUAAAAUGUGGGGUGGUGCGAGCCGGAGUUCCGAUCGAGCCGCCUGACUUAAGAGGCUGCCAGGGAGAACGCCCUGAAUGCACUCUGCCCUGAGAUGAGGAAACUGAGGCACAUUGCUGCUAGGAAAUGAAAGGACCUGGAUCUGAACCCAUAGGCAGUUGGAGCCUGGAGCUUGGGCUGUUAAUCACGCCACUCCAAUGCCUCAUGCCAGAGACAAGAGACGAAGAUGCCAAAUGAGACCCAUGUAAUAAGCCAAGUGAAAAACUCA